CUACGGGCGGCUGCAGUAAGGAAUAUUGGUCAAUGGGCGCAAGCCUGAUCCAGCAAUGCCGCGUGAGUGAAGACGGCCUUAGGGUUGUAAAACUCUUUCGCUAGGGAAGAUAAUGACUGUACCUAGUAAAGAAGUCCCGGCUAACUCCGUGCCAGCAGCCGCGGUAAUACGGAGGGGACUAGCGUUGUUCGGAAUUACUGGGCGUAAAGAGUUCGUAGGCGGACUGACAAGUUAGAGGUGAAAUCCCAGGGCUCAACCCUGGAACUGCCUUUAAAACUGUCAGUCUAGAGACCGGAAGAGGUUAGGGGAAUACCUAGUGUAGAGGUGAAAUUCGUAGAUAUUAGGUGGAACACCAGUGGCGAAGGCGCCUAACUGGUCCGGUACUGACGCUGAGGAACGAAAGCGUGGGGAGCAAACAGGAUUAGAUACCCGCGUAGUC
rnacentral:rRNA from 1 species